rnacentral:rRNA from 1 species
CCCUUAGAUGUUCUGGGCCGCACGCGUGCUACACUGAGUGGAUCAGCGGGUCAGGUUGCGCGAAAGCGUUUCCUAAUCUUUAAAUCCGCUCGUGAUGGGGAUUGACGGUUGCAAUUUUCUGUCAUGAACGAGGAAUACCUUGUAAGCGCGGGUCAUCAUCCCGCGCUGAAUACGUCCCUGCCGUUUGUACACACCGCCCGUCGUUUCUUCCGACUGAUACGAAUUGUGAGUUGCAAGGACCUUCAGGGGGAAUUGCCGCGAAUGCUUCGUAUUGGAGGAAGAAAAAGUCGUAACA